CUGAGAAACGGCUACCACAUCCAAGGAAGGCAGCAGGCGCGCAAAUUACCCACUCCCGGCACGGGGAGGUAGUGACGAAAAAUAACGAUACGGGACUCAUCCGAGGCCCCGUAAUCGGAAUGAGCACACUUUAAAUCCUUUAACGAGUAUCCAUUGGAGGGCAAGUCUGGUGCCAGCAGCCGCGGUAAUUCCAGCUCCAAUAGCGUAUAUUAAAGUUGUUGCGGUUAAAAAGCUCGUAGUCGGACUUGUGUCACACGCUGCCGGUUCACCGCCCGUCGGUGUUUAACUGGCAUGCACGUGUUGACGUCCUGCCGGUGGCCCGAGCCGGGCCGGGGGUUUGGAGUGCGUUUUCCCGUAAGGGUUUGCGCCUCUACUCCGGUCUCUGGGGAGGGCCUACUCAUACCCCUCGCGGUGCUCUUAACCGAGUGUCUCGAUGGGCCGGCACGUUUACUUUGAACAAAUUAGAGUGCUUAAAGCAGGCAGCAUCCGCCUGAAUACUGAGUGCAUGGAAUAAUGGAAUAGGACCUCGGUUCUAUUUUGUUGGUUUUCGGAAUCUCCGAGGUAAUGAUCAAUAGGGACAGACGGGGGCAUUCGUAUUGCGACGUUAGAGGUGAAAUUCUUGGAUCGUCGCAAGACGGACCGAAGCGAAAGCAUUUGCCAAGAAUGUUUUCUCUGAUCAAGAACGAAAGUU
rnacentral:rRNA from 1 species